rnacentral:rRNA from 14 species
AAUUGAGAGUUUGAUCCUGGCUCAGGAUGAACGCUGGCGGUAUGCUUAACACAUGCAAGUCGAACGAGAGGUUUUUAAAGAUUUUUCUUAAAAAACUGAAAGUGGCGGACGGGUGAGUAACACGUGAGAAUCUGCCUUUAGGAAAGGGACAACAUUUGGAAACGAAUGCUAAUACCUUAUAUGCCUAUUAUAACUUGUAUAAUUAAUAGGUGAAAAGUUUUCUGCCUAGAGAGGAGCUCGCGGCUGAUUAGCUAGUUGGUGGGGUAAUGGCCUACCAAGGCGACGAUCAGUAACUGAUUUGAGAGGAUGAUCAGUCACACUGGAACUGAGACACGGUCCAGACUCCUACGGGAGGCAGCAGUGGGGAAUUUUCUGCAAUGGGCGAAAGCCUGACAGAGCAAUACCGCGUGAGGGAUGACAGUCCUAUGGAUUGUAAACCUCUUUUUUCAGGGAGGAAGUUCUGACGUUACCUGAAGAAUAAGCAUCGGCUAACUCCGUGCCAGCAGCCGCGGUAAUACGGAGGAUGCAAGCGUUAUCCGGAAUCAUUGGGUUUAAAGGGUCCGCAGGCGGGGUAUUAAGUCAGUGGUGAAAGCCGGCAGCUUAACUGUCGAAUUGCCAUUGAUACUGGUACUCUUGAGUGUAGUUGAAGUAGGCGGAAUAAGUCAUGUAGCGGUGAAAUGCAUAGAUAUGACUUAGAACACCGAUUGCGAAGGCAGCUUACUAAGCUACUACUGACGCUCAUGGACGAAAGCGUGGGGAGCGAACGGGAUUAGAUACCCCGGUAGUCCACGCCGUAAACGAUGGUCACUAGCUGUUCGGACUUCGGUCUGAGUGGCUAAGCGAAAGUGAUAAGUGACCCACCUGGGGAGUACGUUCGCAAGAAUGAAACUCAAAGGAAUUGACGGGGACCCGCACAAGCGGUGGAGCAUGUGGUUUAAUUCGAAGCAACGCGAAGAACCUUACCAGGUCUUGACAUCCUCUGACAAUCCUAGAGAUAGGACGUUCCCCUUCGGGGGACAGAGUGACAGGUGGUGCAUGGUUGUCGUCAGCUCGUGUCGUGAGAUGUUGGGUUAAGUCCCGCAACGAGCGCAACCCUUGUCGCUAGUUACCAGCAUGUAAUGAUGGGGACUCUAGCGAGACUGCCUAGGUUAACUAGGAGGAAGGUGAGGAUGACGUCAAGUCCGCAUGGCCUUUAUGUCUGGGGCUACACACGUGCUACAAUGGUCGGUACAGAAGGCAGCGAAGCCGAAAGGUGGAGCAAAUCCCCAAAACCGAUCCCAGUUCGAAUUGAAGUCUGCAACUCGACUUCAUGAAGUUGGAAUUGCUAGUAAUGACGUGUCAGCAAUAACGUCGUGAAUACGUUCCCGGGCCUUGUACACACCGCCCGUCACAUCAUGGAAGUUGGUUUUACCCGAAGUCGUCGACUUAACCGCAAGGAGAGAGGCGCCGAAGGUAGGGCUGAUGACUGGGAUGAAGUCGUAACAAGGUAGCCGUAGGGGAACCUGCGGCUGGAUCACCUCCUU